ensembl:lncRNA
GCCCUUUAUGACACCUUUGUAGAGGGGAGACCAGUAUGGUGUGCAGCCUGGGUGGAUGUUUAAACAAAAAGAAGAGGAAAGAGGGCUGGAACAAACAAAAGGGAGUAGCUGCUACAACAGUCAUGGAAAUGCUUGCGGGAAUCCGUGAGGAUAUCCGUGCCGUUAAGGAACGUUCUGGGCAGAAAGACGUGAAGACUGAUUCCUGUGCUGGUUUCAACAGUUGAGGCCCCAAACCUUCUUGACAAAUCCCUCAAAUCUCUGGAGGAAAGGCUGAAACUCAUCAAUGGCUUUUCCGAAGUGGGAGGAGUAUACAUGAAGGCCAAGGUGAAGAGGGACGUGGAGAAACAAGAGAGAAAAGUGGCGUUUUCAGCGUCGCUCUCAGCAGGUGAAGCUGGUCAUAUUGGACCAUACAGCACUUUAUUUCCUCUGGUCUACAGACACGUCUUCACCAACAUCGGCAAAGCUUACAACCCAGCUACAGUGGUUUGGAGAAUGUUGUCCUGAGAGAGAUAUCCAUCCACCACUAUCAUACGAAGGUAUGAUGAGAGGCUGUACAUCUGCAGUGUGUUGGCUGAGCGUUGUUCAGCAGUGUUUCUGGUGCAAGCUCCUAAAUCAAUCAAAAGCGAUAGCAGAAGUGGGGAAAACCCAAGAACCCCACAACCCGAACCAGGCAAGAAUACUUCCGGUUCCAUUAACAGAUGACCAUCUUGGUCUUGUGCGAGUUGGUGAGAUUUCUGCCUUUUGAAAUUGAUCACUGAUGAUACCUCCUGCUGAACACUCAGAUGGUCAACAUAAAUCCAAACUUUAUUUUCAGGACUUUCAUUCUGUUCAUGACAUACACACCAUUCCUAAUGUAGACAGAUCGAAUAAAGAUUGAAGUGCUGUCACUAACAAGACAAACAUUAUUUCCAGGACGAAACGCUUGUAUUCCGCACCCGGUAAGCGUAUCCGCAGGACCGGCAUGGUCUGGGCAUGCUAUUUCUGACUGCGACACGUGUGCCGUGUUACAUACUAAUUUUCCAAGUUUCAAUGUUGGUUCAUGCCAUAACGUAACCUAGCCAAAGACCACUCAGUGUUGUACACCUUGCCUGCUAACUUGUGACCAAACAUUAUAACGCCUUUUAAAAUUACCCUGAUGUGUUAAACUUUGUUACAUCAUUUCUAGGGGAAAUUCCCAAAGCAUUAUGUGGGAUUGUGAUGCAGCUUAAUCAGUUAAGUCAGUCAUACAGGCCAAAAUCGACUAAAUUUUGCAGCUAAUACGAUACAAGACAUGCAAUUGAGAGGUUUGCAAACGACACCGCUCACUCUUUAGGUAUUAUUUCUAGCACCCUUCAGUCUCAUAAAAUCACGAAUUACAAAAUACAUUUACAUUGGUUUGUUUUAUGUUUUGUCUCUGUUAUUGAUCCCACUGCAGAUCUCAAUGGGUAUAUUAGUGAUCUAAAGGAUCUAUGUAAUCGUGUUACCCAAAUGGGUCAAAACAGAGGAGAUUGGCUGAGUGUUUGGGUUUGUGGUGGCUGUACUGUUGUGAAAUGUUACUGAUCUUUGUCACAUUUUGUGGUGGUGUUCUGAUAAUCUAUUCCAUGAUGCAAUGUUGUUGCAUAUUCUUAGCUGUACAGAUACAUGUACAUAUAGCACAAACAGAUGUAGAACUUACCAUCAUAAAUGUAAUUGUCACCACAGAAAUCUCUUAAGUUACAAUGCCUAUACCUAAUGUCCAGACAGGUAUAUGAAUGAAUAACCCAUGUUGACCACACUUCUGUAUGGUCAAGCAGGGGGAGCGUUAAGUAUGAAUUUAUUUGAUUAACUUUUGUUGCCUCUUGCCAUUUGGGUUAAUGUCAUUUGUGUUUUGUAUGUCUUUUCUUGGGUGGUGUGUGGGGGGCUGUGGAGAGGUCCUUUUGUAAUGUAUUGACACCCAGUGUUAUCUAUACCUGCAAAUCUAGCAACAGGGGAGACUGUAAACUCCUGGGUGGAGCUUAACACCUACUUUAAUUCCAAAGGUAGAGCCAGCCAUCCAUUGAGACAGACUUGCUUGGUGUGUGUGCUUUUA